GACUUGGUAGCCUACUUGUUAAAGGCAGAACUUCUAAUAAAUUGUCUUAGCUUGAAGCUAAGAUUGUUGGUUCAAAUCCUGCCAAGUUA